rnacentral:rRNA from 1 species
UACGUAGGGGCAAGCGUUGUCCGGAAUCAUUGGGCGUAAAGCGCGCGUAGGCGGCCUCGUAAGUCCGUUGUGAAAGUCAAAGGCUCAACCUUUUGAAGCCGAUGGAUACUGUGAGGCUAGAGUCCGGAAGAGGCGAGUGGAAUUCCUGGUGUAGCGGUGGAAUGCGCAGAUAUCAGGAGGAACACCAAUAGCGAAGGCAGCUCGCUGGGACGGUACUGACGCUAAGGCGCGAAAGCGUGGGGAGCGAACAGGA